UUCAACAACGGAUCUCUUGGUUCUGGCAUCGAUGAAGAACGCAGCGAAAUGCGAUAAGUAAUGUGAAUUGCAGAAUUCAGUGAAUCAUCGAAUCUUUGAACGCACAUUGCGCCCGCCAGUAUUCUGGCGGGCAUGCCUGUUCGAGCGUCAUUACAACC
rnacentral:rRNA from 1 species